rnacentral:rRNA from 1 species
UACGAAGGGUGCAAACGUUGCUCGGAAUCAUUGGGCGUAAAGCGCACGUAGGCGGCCUCAUAAGUCGGAUGUGAAAUCCCUCGGCUCAACCGAGGACGUGCAUCCGAAACUGUGAAGCUCGAGUAUGGAAGCGGGUCGCGGAAUUCCCGGUGUAGAGGUGAAAUUCGUAGAUAUCGGGAGGAACACCAGUGGCGAAGGCGGCGACCUGGGCCAAUACUGACGCUGAGGUGCGAAAGCGUGGGGAGCAAACAGG